GGAGUUAUGCCUGAGCACCAAAGGACCACUUUGAUAGAGUGAACUACGGGGGUUAAAAUCCCCCUGACUCCU
rnacentral:tRNA from 1 species